rnacentral:rRNA from 1 species
GACGAAGGGGGCUAGCGUUGUUCGGAAUUACUGGGCGUAAAGCGCGUGUAGGCGGUUGCCAAAGUCGGGUGUGAAAGCCUUGAGCUCAACUCAAGAAAUGCACUCGAUACUUGGUGACUAGAGGACCGGAGAGGAUAGUGGAAUUCCCAGUGUAGUGGUGAAAUACGUAGAGAUUGGGAAGAACACCAGUGGCGAAGGCGGCUAUCUGGACGGUUUCUGACGCUAAGACGCGAAAGCGUGGGGAGCGAACAGG